rnacentral:rRNA from 1 species
GACGAACGCUGGCGGCGUGCCUAAUACAUGCAAGUCGAGCGAAUCGAUGGGAGCUUGCUCCCUGAGAUUAGCGGCGGACGGGUGAGUAACACGUGGGUAACCUGCCUGUAAGACUGGGAUAACUUCGGGAAACCGGAGCUAAUACCGGAUACUUUCUUUUCUCGCAUGAGGGAAGAUGGAAAGAUGGUUCUGCUAUCACUUACAGAUGGACCCGCGGCGCAUUAGCUAGUUGGUGAGGUAACGGCUCACCAAGGCGACGAUGCGUAGCCGACCUGAGAGGGUGAUCGGUCACACUGGGACUGAGACACGGCCCAGACUCCUACGGGAGGCAGCAGUAGGGAAUCUUCCGCAAUGGACGAAAGUCAGACGGAGCAACGCCGCGUGAGCGAAGAAGGCCUUCGGGUCGUAAAGCUCUGUUGUUAGGGAAGAACAAGUACGAGAGUAACUGCUCGUACCUUGACGGUACCUAACCAGAAAGCCACGGCUAACUACGUGCCAGCCGCCGCGGUAAUAC